GGAAUGAGAACAAUUUAAACCCCUUAACGAGUAACCAUCAGAGGGCAAGUCUGGUGCCAGCAGCCGCGGUAAUUCCAGCUCUGAUAGCGUAUAUUAAAGUUGUUGCAGUUAAAAAGCUCGUAGUUGGAUUUUAGAGUAUAUUGAUAUGGUCUCUUGUGAUAAACUUGUUGUACUGUAUUAAUUACUCUUUCCUACUGGUUACUCGACUCUGUUCUUUAUUGCAUGGAGUAGUGUCGCAAGGCAUCGCUUAGUAUUUUAUUGCUUUUAGAUGUAGUAAUUGGGUAAAACUGGUUAUGAAACCUAAGGGAUCACAGUAAGGUAUUAAGUGGGGUUCCAGUUCAUUUACUUUGAGUAAAAUUAGAGUGUUCAAAGCAGCCUGUAUGGGCAUUGAAUAGAUUAGCAUGGGAUAAUAGAAUAGGAUUCUUAUCUAUUUAUUGGUUUAUAGAUUUAGAAUAAUGAUUAAUAGGGAUAGUUGGGGG
rnacentral:rRNA from 1 species